rnacentral:rRNA from 1 species
UACGUAGGGGGCAAGCGUUGUCCGGAUUUAUUGGGCGUAAAGAGCGUGUAGGCGGCCAGGUAGGUGGGUUGUGAAAACUGGAGGCUCAACCUUCAGAGGUCGACCCAAACCCCCUGGCUAGAGUCCGGAAGAGGAGAGUGGAAUUCCUGGUGUAGCGGUGAAAUGCGCAGAUAUCAGGAAGAACACCCGUGGCGAAGGCGGCUCUCUGGGACGGUACUGACGCUGGGACGCGAAAGCGUGGGGAGCGAACAGG